UGAAGGAGUGGAAUAGUUUAAAGUUUGAAUGGUUGAAAUCGGACAAAGUUUGAAGGAGGAGAAGCGUGACAAAAAACGGCGGAAGAAUAAAAAUAAGAUUAAAGAAACAGGAGAAUAACAAUAAGUGGAAAUGCUUAAUCAGCAUUUCCACUUAAUAAAGAAAAAUGGCCGACAGGAAUAACAAUAAGUGGAAAUGCUUAAUCAGCAUUUCCACUUAAUAAUAAAGAAAAAUGGCCGACAGGAAUAACAAUAAGUGGAAAUGCUUAAUCAGCAUUUCCACUUAAUAAAGAAAAAUGGCCGACAGGAAUAACAAUAAGUGGAAAUGCUUAAUCAGCAUUUCCACUUAACUAGAAAAAUUGCAUUUCCUUGCAGAAAAUGCGUGGAAAUGCUGAGUGCUGAAAGCUGAAAAAGCAAUGCUAAACUGCUAAUAAAACAUGGAGAAAGGUAUAAAUGUUAAAGCUGUUGAAGGGGUGAACAGAAAUAUAAGUUGGAUAAUUGAUUAAUUGGUUGAAGGACAAAUAGUAUGAAUAUGCUCUAUAAAAGGAAAUUUUAUUCAUGCUGAAAGAGGCUAGAAAAAUGUCGAAAAUUGCACAAAGUUUGAAUGAAGAAGGAAAUUGCCUUAAAAGGCAGGAAGGUGAGAAGUGGCAUAAGUUUAAAUUGUAGUACUAGAAGUAGUAUGAUAAAAAGUCAAGUUGUGAUACUAGUAGUCAUGUCAGCAGUAGAAGUAGAUUGAGAAUAAAAGAAGAAUAAGUCAAAGUAGUAAAGAAAGUAGAAAUAGGAGCAAUAGCAGUUGAAGUAGAGGGGAAAGUUCUAGUUUAAUUGACAUUAGCAGUAGUUGUCGUACUUGAGGUAGGAUUUUGUUUGAAUGAUGGAGUAAUGCAUAAAUAUUAAAACUAGUAUCAGAAAGUUUUGAAGUAUUAGAAAGGUUUGAAUCAGUUUGAAUGAGUUUAAAUUAGUUUGAAAAAUUAAAUGAUAAAUCAUCACUGACUGACUUUUAAAAUGUGAAAAAUUUAAAUGAAUAACAAUCCUAAAUACACCCAAUAAUGUCCUCAAUGAGCUUAAAUUUCAAAGCCCUGAAUGGUUUCUGUAGGUCAAAGGUCAUGUGAGGAGCUAGGGGCUGAAGUUUUUUCCAACGCUCUAGGAAAAGGUUUUAAGUGUCAUCCCAAUUGCUAUGUGUACUGAGCCUGGCUUCAUGUGUCUCAUAUGGCCACUAGAAGCAGCUUUCCAGUCAGCUGUGUGUCUCCAGGUGCACAAAUUGGUUGCCAUGGGGACCUUGGAUGCAUAACUAUAGCAGGAGAAAGAAGGCUUGAAGCUAAAGAAACAGGACUCCAAGUAGGCCCUGACGCUCACCCUCUGUAUAUAUUCAUAAGGAGCUUGUGAGAACACAAGACUCUGCUGAACACAUUAAUACAAUUUAUUAUCACAAUCCUCAAAACACCCCAUAAUAUCUUCAAUGAGCUGAAUUUUAGAAGCCCAGAAUGGUUUCUGUAGCUCAAAGUUUGUGGGUGGAGAUAGGUGGCGAAGCAGACACAUAUUAACUGUGUGUACAAGCAGCUGAACUGCAAGGUAGACCUCAUAAAGCAACAACUACAAGAAUGUGUGUGUGUGUGUGUGUGUGUGUCUCGUUAAUGACUGCAUCCUAAACAGCUGUGAGAUCAAAGGCAAAUCACUGACCUACUGUUUGAAUGAGAAGCAGCUGAACUGCAGAGGAUUUAGAGGCUCUAAACUUCUUCACAUAGCGUGAUUUCCUUAAGUCCCAGAAUGAAAAUAAGAACAUCGUACGAAUCCUCCGCCCUUCAUGAACACAAUGAUGUCUUUUUCAUGUCUGUACUCCGAAAAAUGUGGCCACAACAGCGAGUUAAAAAAGUCUGAGCCUGAGUGGGGAUAAGGAUUUUCUUGGAGAAGAAAUACAUUAGGUCUAAUGGGGAGAGAUUUCCGCCUAUUUGGACAGUUGGUCACCUGCUGGCCAAGGGGUAAGAUUUAAUGAUUUGAAACCUCUUUUGUGAGAAGCAGGACACAUAUACCUCCAUUUUGAUGUAUUUUUUAUGGGUGUGGAUUGAGAUUUGUGAGCGUGGGAGCGAUAUAUUCGAGCGAGGUUCUGUCGAUCAGAGACGAGGUCUGCACUCUAGCUUUUCAAAUC